rnacentral:lncRNA from 1 species
AUAACAUAUGCCAACAUAAUUCAAAUGUCCAAACUAAACUAACUAAAAUGCCAAUAACUGAAGAAUCAUCGGAAACUCUAACGCACUCCCCAAUCCCGUGCGAUCAAGCCUCUGGAUCUGAAAAAUGGAGAAAAACAGAAUAAUGAGCUACACUAGCCUAGUAAGCAACAAAAUACCCCAGAGUGGGGUCAGAGCAUAUCAAAUCAAAAUACAGGAUAAUGUCUGAAAUAAAUCAUAAAUAACAUCGUUUUGUUGUUUUCAAAACUUAUUAUCAUUUUUCCAAAAACUCUUAUACCAGAAUCUCAACAUAAUAGGCUACGGCCACGUAACCCAGUGGCAUGGGUUGCACAGAGUGCCAGAAACCACUAUUGUUAGUCACCGGUGGAAACGGUGUCCAGAAACCACUAUUCUAAUCACCGGUGGCGCGGUGUCGAAAUCGGUUCCUCACAGAUUACAAGUCGACAGGUCCAACGUAUAAUCCCCAUUGGCGGGGCCAGAACAGAACAGAACAGAUCAUAGCCAUGCUGAGAAUAUAUAUAUAUAAAAAUAGCUUUCAUAAACUGUACAGGCAUGUUUCACGGAAUUCAGAGCAUAUAAUAUAAUUUUCAAAUAAAAUUUAAUAUGCCAGACCCAUUUUACUAAACACAAAACAUAUUUCAAAAUUUAAUCCAGUAAUA